GUGAAGGCCAAGAAGAUGGAGCGCCUCGUCGCCGCCACCGCCAAGCUCUGCUCCGAGAUGGAGACGCUCGACGAGCUGGAAUCCGCCGACCGGAAGUUGAACGUCCGGGGCUGGAGUCGACUCAGCGGCCCGAUCCCGCAGCAGCCACAGGCGGCGGCCCAGCAGCAGCAGCAACAAUUGACCGGGGAUUCACCUGGCGCGGAGUCGCUCCGGCAAGAGCUCAAGACGCAGCAGCUCAAAGUGAAGCGCCUCAAGGACGAGUCCCUGUGGAACCAGAGCUACAAGAAGGCCGUAGGCCUCAUGGCGCGCGCCGCCUGCGCGCUGUUCGUCCGCAUCUGCUCCAUCUUCGGCCCAUUCGUCGCUGGCCUCCCGCCGCCGCUGCCGUCGGCCAGCACGGACAGCGUCCAGACCCGGCUGUCGAAGCUGCUGCACCCGCGGUCGGCGAAGGCGAAGGCGUCGUCCGGGCCGAUCACGCGUCGGGACGGCCCGUCCCGCGUGCACCCGCCGAUGAGCAACUCGUGCCCGAUCAUCGGGCGGCACCCGCCGGGCCAGAAACCCCCCACCAACUGGCGCAAGGUCCUGGACGCGCCGCCCAGCACCGUCGGCGGCGCGGGGCUGGACCAGCAGUACGCGAACGUGAUCGCGUCCGCGGAGGAGCUGCUGCGCAUGGAGGCCGAGGGCCGCCAGGAGGAGGCCUCCGCGGAGCGCGCCGAGAUGUACGAGAUGCUCCCGGCGAAGCUCCGCGCGGCGGUCCGGUCGAAGCUGCGGGAGUGGUGGCGCGACCCGGGCCCGCUGGACGAGGGCCUGGCGCGCGGGUGGAAGGACGCGGUGGACCGCAUCAUGGCGUGGCUGGGUCCGAUGGCGCGCGACACGGUGCAGUGGCAGGCGGAGCGGAACAUGGACCGGACGCGCCGGUUCGACGGCGCCCCGCGCGUGUACGCGCUGCAGACGCUGCGGUGGGCGGACAAGGACAAGGCCGAGGCGGCCAUCGUCGAGGUGCUCGUCGCGCUGAGCUGCAUCUGUUGGUACGAGGAGCGCCGGCGAGGCUCCGUCCGUCUCGGUUGAACCAUUCAACGCAUUCUUUCCCCUCGCUCGAUCAGAUCGGUCGUGGCGGGUGGCCGUUUCUUCCUCUUCUCUCCUGCGUUUGUCAAAUAUUUGAUUUGAAGAGUUGAUUUUUUGAGCCGGUAGUAGAAGAAUUAGAAGUUAGAACGGGGUGGUGAUGCGUUGAACGGGUUAGGAAGGAAGGAGACACAGCAGCAGCAGCAAUACUUGAAACGAAAUCGAUGGUUGGUAUGCGCGUUGGGGUGGCUGUCAGCGGCGUGACGCCGACACGUGGGGGCCUCGCUUCCCACUCUCCCGUCGGUCUCACGCCAGUGACAGAGUCCGGUGUACAACACAGCGUCACG
rnacentral:misc_RNA from 1 species